UUAAAGGUUUUUAANAUGGCUCAGGACGAACGCUGGCGGCGUGCCUAACACAUGCAAGUCGAGCGGUCCGGCACUCAACGUAGUUGGGUGGCGGAUAGCGGCGGACGGGUGAGUAACGCGUGGGCAACCUACCCUUAAGACCGGGAUAGCACCUCGAAAGGGGUGGUAAUACUGGAUAAGCUCCUUAUAGGGCAUCCUAUAGGGAGGAAAGGGAGGCGCAAGCUACCGCUUAAGGAUGGGCCCGCGUCCCAUCAGCUAGUUGGUAGGGUAACGGCCUACCAAGGCGACGACGGGUAGCCGGCCUGAGAGGGUGGUCGGCCACACUGGGACUGAGACACGGCCCAGACUCCUACGGGAGGCAGCAGUGGGGAAUCUUGGGCAAUGGGCGGAAGCCUGACCCAGCGACGCCGCGUGGGGGAGGAAGGCCUUCGGGUUGUAAACCCCGUUAGUGUGGAAGAAGGGAUGACGGUACCACACGAAAGCCCCGGCNACUAAU
rnacentral:rRNA from 1 species